rfam:Myotis brandtii contig282088, whole genome shotgun sequence.
CUUCCCAUUUAUUUGCUGCUAUAGUCUUUACAAUGAUAUGAGCAGUUAUAUGCACAGGAUAAAAUAACAUUGGACCACUGUCAAUUGAGAUGGAGUAACUAUUUCAUCUCUUCUGCAUGCAUAGUUUAGACAAAU